rnacentral:tRNA from 1 species
GCCGGUGUAGCUCAGGGGUAGAGCGUUUCCUUGGUAAGGAAGAGGUCAGGAGUUCAAAUCUCCUCAUUGGCU